rnacentral:sRNA from 1 species
AAUAAUGGUUACUUUCCAAAAUCCUGAAAAUCCAAAUCCGUGUGGGGGGAGGGGGGCAGCAAUACUUUCUAAAACUUCAAUUUCACUGUAUUUCCAUAUUUUCACCAGGUCCCAGAAAAGUGGGGGGGGGGCAACUUCAUGUUAAUUCAUUUUUUUGUAGGCUAUGUAAAUUGAAGAAAAUUGUUGCAUGCUGCGCAAAAAGUAGCAGCCCCCCCCCCCCCCCCCCGAUGCUACGUGCCUGAAAGCUGUUAUAAACCAUUGACCCUCUUUUAAUCUGGUUUUAUUCACCACGUAUACCAUUUAUCAUUUAUUCUUACCAUUAUAUUAAUGGCGAUAAAUAAAUAAAUUGAAAUUCUGUCU